CUGAAUUCAUGUGCCUAUUUUGUGCUUUCAUGUUUCCUGUUACGUGUGAAUACAGUUGUUAUUACAGAGUAACACAUGAGCACCUAUAUCAUGAACUAUGGUUUAUUUGCUAGAUUUCUAAGUGAGACAUAGAAAUUAUGGAUACAACCGGUACUGUAAAUGGAACGUUAUGGGAGACGAUGCAAAACAUUUUACUGCUCCGAUUAAUGCAGUUUUAGCUGUCAAGAGUGCAAGAGUUUCAGACUUUGGAGGUCGUUCACUGUCUUUCACAUCUGGCAGUUCGCUAGCAAUCAACCCAGAUCAUGGAUCUGCAGAUCACCUAAAAGAAUGGUAUGAAUAUGUUGAAUUCCAACAACAUCACCUUGAAUCCAUUACCACCCAGCAGACAUACAUCAAUACGCCCACAAAACUAUUGAGUCAAAUCAAAGAUGAAAAUCUUGGCCGUGGAGACAAGCCGGACUAUUUCAAUGUGCAAGCAACUGUACUGUUUUCAAGAAAGAUAAUGCUCUUUACAAAGCUUGCCCACUGGAAGACCAGAACUUCAAAGUGGUUGACAUAGGGAAUGGACAAUACCGUUGUGAGAAACUCGACACAACAUUUGAUUCAUUCAAAUGGCGAAAUUGCUUGCAGGAAGAAGAAAAGCUCAAAUGCACUUGCAUUUCCGUUAGGAAUAUGUAGAACUGUGACAGUUAUUACUCCAAAUAAAUCAAUUUGUUGCUGAUAGAUAACAUUCUGCCAGCUGUUUUUGCCUUACACACUUUUAUUAACUUGUUAACAUGCAUUUAGAAACAACGCCUAAUCUAGCUGCAUUUGUAACGU